AAGCACUCCGGAAGUGGAUAAGCCUGGGAGCCAGAGUGAGGCCCUGUCUCUACAAACAAAAACAUUUCGGGGAAAUUUCUGGGAGGCAGCAUAGAUAAGGUAAAGGAGUGCAGGAGGUGUGGUCUUCAUAUCAAUGUCAUACAGGCCUGAAACCCGGAACCCGGAACCCCGCAGUGAGAACCAGCCCAAGCCCUCAGAUGCACGAGCUGAAGCUACUCCAUAGAAACAAAGGUCUGAGCAGACUCACACCUCAAAGGACCAGAAUUCUUCAGAAGUGGAAAGAAACUUUGAGUAAUGAAGUAAAGAAAUAAGGACAAGUUCACUGUCCAUGGUCUUCUUAACAGAAGAAAGAAUUUGGAUUAUUAGACUUAUGCACGUUAUUAUUACUGAACACCAUGAUCCUUUCUGAGGACCAUUGAAAGGCAGUGCCCUAUUCUGGGGUCAACCUCAGGUCCCUGACCAUCCUGAUUCUGUGACGAUUCCCACCCAAGCAAGUCUGGUUGUUGGGUCUUGUCCUUCAUGAAGAGGACGUUUGCUGCUUCUUCUGAGGUGAUCUUCAUCUAUUUCACGUUAUAAAGUCCCUGCUAUAGUGGAGUGCAUAUUGUCCCUUAGGACUUGGGAUGGAGAUAACAGAUGCUGUCUUACAAGGAUGAUGAUGUAAUAUUUAGGAGGAUUUCAUGAGGGGAAAAAAAAAAA